rnacentral:rRNA from 1 species
AUUGAACGCUGGCGGCAUGCCUUACACAUGCAAGUCGAACGGCAGCACGGGAGCAAUCCUGGUGGCGAGUGGCGAACGGGUGAGUAAUACAUCGGAACGUGCCCAGUAGUGGGGGAUAACCCGGCGAAAGCCGGACUAAUACCGCAUACGACCUACGGGUGAAAGCAGGGGAUCGCAAGACCUUGCGCUAUCGGAGCGGCCGAUGUCAGAUUAGCUAGUUGGCGGGGUAAAAGCCCACCAAGGCGACGAUCUGUAGCUGGUCUGAGAGGACGACCAGCCACACUGGGACUGAGACACGGCCCAGACUCCUACGGGAGGCAGCAGUGGGGAAUUUUGGACAAUGGGCGCAAGCCUGAUCCAGCCAUGCCGCGUGCGGGAAGAAGGCCU